GAUCCUUAUAAUAUGGGUAAUAGACGUGCUAUAAUAAAAUGAUAUUAUAAUUAUAUAAAAUAUAUUUAAUUAUAUUUAAUUAAUAAUAUAAAACAUUUUAAUUUUUAAUAUAUUUUUUUAUUAUAUAUUAUAUUGAAUUAUAAUCUGAAAUUCGAUUAUAUGAAAAAAGAAUUGCUAGUAAUACGUAAAUUAGUAUGUUACGGUGAAUAUUCUAACUGUUUCGCACUAAUCACUCAUCACGCGUUGAAACAUAUUAUUAUCUUAUUAUUUAUAUAAUAUUUUUUAAUAAAUAUUAAUAAUUAUUAAUUUAUAUUUAUUUAUAUCAGAAAUAAUAUGAAUUAAUGCCAAGUUGAAUACAGUUACCGUAGGGGAACCUGCGGUGGGCUUAUAAAUAUCUUAAAUAUUCUUACA
rnacentral:rRNA from 1 species